CCACUUCUUUCAGGUCGUUCUCGGGUUUCCCGGCCACCAUAAAGGGCCACGUCUGCAGGAGAGAAGAGGGUGGAGGAGUGAACUGGCUGCUGCGGAGAGAUGGGGACCUAUGAGAGGUGGAAGAACGCCAUUAGGUUUGGAGCCAGGGGAAGGGUCAUCGCGGUUCUUUUUCUCUCUGGCUGUGUGCAUUUCAUCCAUUUUGAAAAAAUUUGAAAAUGCAGAAAGAACAAGGCAAAGAAUAAUUACAGCCAUGAUUUAAUUCUGAAUAAAUCUCGCAAUAAGAUUAUGUUUUUAUUGAUGCCCCUUCAGCGUCCUGCUAAGCGUUUACCACUUUCUGUAAAUUGUAUGGGAAGAUGGGAAGA